UUGCACGGACAAGUGACUCCUUUGUCUUUUCUGUGGCUUAGGGUUCUCAUUCCAGUGCAAGAUUAAAUGCCUUCUUGCAGAAAGGCCAGGAUCUCCUGUAACCUGCUUCUUCCAAAAUGCAUAUGUCCCAAAU